rnacentral:rRNA from 1 species
GACGAACGCUGGCGGCGUGCCUAAUACAUGCAAGUAGAACGCUGAAGGAGGAGCUUGCUUCUCUGGAUGAGUUGCGAACGGGUGAGUAACGCGUAGGUAACCUGCCUGGUAGCGGGGGAUAACUAUUGGAAACGAUAGCUAAUACCGCAUAAGAGUAGAUGUUGCAUGACAUUUGCUUAAAAGGUGCAAUUGCAUCACUACCAGAUGGACCUGCGUUGUAUUAGCUAGUUGGUGGGGUAACGGCUCACCAAGGCGACGAUACAUAGCCGACCUGAGAGGGUGAUCGGCCACGCUGGGACUGGGACACGGCCCAGACUCCUACGGGAGGCAGCAGUAGGGAAUCUUCGGCAAUAGACGGAAGUCUGACCGAGCAACGCCGCGUGAGUGAAGAAGGUUUUCGGAUCGUAAAGCUCUGUUGUAAGAGAAGAACGAGUGGGAGAGUGGAAAGUUCACACUGUGACGGUAUCUUACCAGAAAGGGACGGCUAACUACGUG